rnacentral:tRNA from 1 species
GUCUACAUGGUAGAGCAUGGUGUUUGCAUGGUGUUUGCAACGCCAGGGUUGUGGGUUCGAUUCCCACGGGGGACC